CGGAGGGAAGCUCCCGCUGUAUUACAUUGUGAAACAGCUGCGUUACGUGGACUAAAAUAAAAGUUUUAAAUGUAGUGCCACUGCAGUGAGAUCAUUGUGCCCGUAAGGCGUGUGACAGAAGCUGUCCGGGCAGGAGGCUGAAGAAUCCCAAUUCUCCCAGCCUUCCCUCAGAGCAGAGGUGCUCUAUUCCUGCAAUAAUCUUGGUGGCCUCCUCUGGACUAGCUCCAGCAGAUUGAGGACUAGCUCCUUCCUGUGUUUGAGGACCCCAGAGCUGAAUGCAGUACUUGAAGGUGAAAGUGAAAGACCGUUAAUGGAAGAAGUUUGAGUUACCUGAUCUUUUAAAAGGAUAUUGGAAAGAUGGUUUAGACAAUGAAGGAGUAUUUGGCUUGUCGCUCUUGGAUGGUAAACACUAAAGACUUCACAAGCUGCAAAGACAUACUUCAAGUACCCAAGAAUUUUUAGAAAUCUAAAGCAAAAAGGACCUACUCUUCCUCUGAGAUUUUGAACCUUAAAUCCAUGUUUCAAAGGAAGUAUAUAUGCUCAGCAACUAUAAUAGCCAGGCAUUAAAGGAUACAGCACUCUGGUUGACAACUUAAGCAAUGAGCUGUGGUGGUUUUGGAAGACAGGAACAGAAGAAAAAAGACAGGAGUAUGGUUUUUCAUCACUAUAUGGAUCACCAUAUCUAUGUCCUGCAUGUGGCUGCAUUCUUUUAACCAGUUGUACCUGUGUGUUGGAUGGUUUUUACUCUGGUUAUUUUCCUUCAUCUGACUGUAAGGAUUUGUUACCUCUUUAUGCAAGAAGAAAGUUAUUUCUUUGGGAGAACAACCAUCUCUUGUUUGUAUUUAUAUAAUAUGUCACAGGAUAUUGUGGUCCAUGACAUUAAGCCAAUUACAGCAGUAGAGCUACAUUAGUCACUGGUGAUGGCACCUGGAUGAUAAGAAAGUCAAGGAAACCAGCAAGACUCUAGAAGUCUAAAUUAAGUGAUGAGAGCAUAAGCAAAUGCCAUUACUAAAAGGAAAUGUUGUGAUGGACGGGUUAAGAUUCUACUAGUCAAUUACUGACAGAAUUUGACUGACAUUCAGGUUUUCCUUUACUCUGACCAGUGCUUCUCAAUCAAUCACAGUACCAAAACCUUUCCGCAAUUUGAAAGCUUAUCAUUUUGGAGUGAUGUUUAAAGGAAUUUUAUUUUUAAAAAAUGUAUUUCAAUUUUUUGCUGGAAAAUGCAUAUAUCUUUACAACAGGUGUUUCUCUGUUCUGUGCUGUUAUUUGUGCUCUUGUCAUUGUCAUGUGUCUCCAGAUAUUGAACUUUUUUUUCCCUCACCUUUUUCUUAAGAUAUUUAGAAAGUUUAAAUUUAUAAAUUAGCUUAGUUGUAACUUAGUUUUUAACUUAUAAAUUUUUAUAAUUUCAUAGGAAAGUCAGAAACAAACCCUGAGGAAGUACAGUUAAUAGACAGGAAGUUAUCACACAUUUAAAUAUGCUGCAGUGUCUAAAUAUAUAAAUACUGAUUACACAGCUCUCCUGAACUUUGGACACUGCCACCCAACACAUGAAAGUACUCUAAAAACUAGGAGAUAUGUGCAGAGCUCUCAAUUUUUGCAGGGUUUUUAUAACUGUAAACCACAAGCUCUUGUGAAAUAGCAACACCACAAAGGUUUGUUCUUGCUUAUAUUUCACCAGAAGCUGUUACCACAAGUGCCAACUGUCUACAGAUGAUACAGGAAUUAAUUUGUAAAGAAGGAGAUGCAACAAAUUAUCAAGAAAAUACUUUUACAAAAUCACUUGGGGUGUUAUUUCUGCUAUUGGGACUACCAGGGUGUUAUUUCUGCUAUUGGGACUACCAGGUAACAAAUAUGAUUUGUACUGAUAUUUUGCUCUGCUCGCAACCACAGCAAGCCCUGACAGACCAGUAACCUUGAAUCUUGUUUAUUGCACACCAGGGCAUGAGCUGGGACUUUUAAAACAUUUCUACUUACUGUUCUGUCUGUGGAAGCUCUGCCAACUUCUCCCUUCACUCUCUAGUGUGUUUAGUAAAGAGUUUGCAUUGCUUUUCUUCCAGUUCUAGGCCUUAAGUUUACCUGGUGGCUAAUACACAUCUUGUCUUCUGCUGGGAAAUCAAACACCACCUCAGAUUGAUGCUUCUGAGAUUGUUUCCAUCCUAAUAAAUCAGAAACUUAUUAUGUAUUAAUCUUCUACAUUAAUGAUUGUUUGAAAUGUAUUUACAUUUAUUUUAGACAGACAAAAACAGGGAAAAUAAUUUCCAGAAAUAUUUUCUUUGAAGUUUAUAUUACUUUUUUUUUUUUUGCAAAGUUUGAUCAUAAGUGGACAUAUUAAAACUAAACAUUUUUCUUGGUCCAUCCAUUUCAAUCCAUUUAAGAUUCUUGUUUCUGACAGAGAUAGCUAUUGUAUUUCAGAAAACAAAAUAAAGAUUGAUACAGACAGUUUAUGAUGUCCUUCAUUAAAAAACCCUCUAUCCAAGCCUUUGGAUAUCACCACACAAUAAGAAACUGUUAUGAGUUUUCACCUUGGAGACAUCUCCUGUUGAGUUCUACCCAGCAAAAAUUUCAGCCAGAGGUGAGUGAAGUGCUUCAAACCUCAUAAACUGUGAAAACAGAGGAGACCUUGAGGUAUCAAUGUGUGGAGGAAAUUUUGAAACUAACUUUAGAAUUUUUACUUGAAAAUGUCAUUCUUAAAAUGCCCUAAAUGUAGACGAUAAACUGCUUGUGAAGCUAUUUGCCUGUGUUUAUAUCGAAAGGAUAACAUAUUAGCUUUCUUUAGAUUAAAAAUAAAACAAAACAAAACAAAAAAAAACUGGAGAAAAAAGGAGUGCUGUUUCAUAUUUUUGGUCACUUGAUGGCACUAAACUAACACUGUAUACAUAUUAAUCACCAAUAGCAUAAGAAUAUUUCCUUGCCAGUGUUUUGUUUUCUUUUUUUAUU